rnacentral:rRNA from 1 species
UACGAAGGGGGCUAGCGUUGCUCGGAAUCACUGGGCGUAAAGCGCACGUAGGCGGACUCUUAAGUCGGUGGUGAAAUCCUGGAGCUCAACUCCAGAACUGCCUUUGAUACUGAGGAUCUUGAGUUCGGGAGAGGUGAGUGGAACUGCGAGUGUAGAGGUGAAAUUCGUAGAUAUUCGCAAGAACACCAGUGGCGAAGGCGGCUCACUGGCCCGAUACUGACGCUGAGGCGCGAAAGCGUGGGGAGC